rnacentral:rRNA from 11 species
CAUCAAUUGAGACUCCGUUAGUAGUGGCGAGCGAACGCGGACUAGGCCAGUGGCAAUUUGUUAAGAACCGGAACCGUCUGGAAAGUCGGGCCGCAGUGGGUGACAGCCCCGUACGGGUAGGAAAGAUAAGAGACUCGAGUAGGGCGGGACACGUGAAAUCCUGUCUGAACAUGGGGGGACCACUCUCCAAGCCUAAGUACUCGCAUAUGACCGAUAGUGAACCAGUACCGUGAGGGAAAGGUG